GUGUUAGUAGAAAGAAGAGAUGGUUGGCAUCUCCUCUGACAAAGAACGGGAUAGACCUCCGGGUUUUGGCACAUCUGGGUAAUGCUCCCACCUUCAGUAGAUGAGAAAAUGAUUUUU